UACAGAGGGUGCGAGCGUUAAUCGGAAUUACUGGGCGUAAAGGGCCCGUGGGCGGCUGGGAAUGUCGGGGGGGAAAUCCCCGGGCUCAACCUGGGAACUGCAUCCGAAACUGCCUUGCUAGAGUAUGGGAGAGGGAAGUGGAAUUUCCGGUGUAGCGGUGAAAUGCGUAGAUAUCGGAAGGAACAUCAGUGGCGAAGGCGACUUCCUGGACCAAUACUGACGCUCAGGUGCGAAAGCGUGGGGAGCAAACAGG
rnacentral:rRNA from 1 species